rnacentral:lncRNA from 1 species
AGAGGAGGUAGGGAGUCAGUCUUACGGUUCCUUUACCUCCUGCCUGUUCAACUCUAAAAACGUGCUUUUUCUGACCCUCUGCAUGCUGGGCACCCGGUUAAUGCCUGUUCACUUGAAUUGAAUUCCAGGUGUGCAACAUGGCAGCCUGGCCCAUGCCCUGUCUCCGGCUCGUUGACAAAGGCUUCCCAAUGGAAGGGAUAGUUAAGCUGAGAUUUGAAAGAAGGAAGGAGAGAUCAUUUGGACAAUUCACACCAGGUUCAGAAGGGUGCGUGCACACACACACACUGUAAGCAUCACCCAAUCCUUUGAAAUGUGGACAGCACGUCCUCAGAUAUCUUGCUGGAUAUCCAUAUAGGAAAUGUGAGC